rnacentral:rRNA from 1 species
GUACGGGGGGAGCAAGCGUUGUUCGGAUUUACUGGGCGUAAAGGGCGCGUAGGCGGUCGUGACAAGUCACUUGUGAAAUCUCCGGGCUUAACUCGGAACGGUCAAGUGAUACUGUCGGACUAGAGUACAGAAGGGGCAACUGGAAUUCUCGGUGUAGCGGUGAAAUGCGUAGAGAUCAUGAGGAAGACCAGUGGCGAAGGCGGGUCUCUGGACAGUUCCUGACACUGAGGCACGAAGGCCAGGGGAGCAAACGGG